UACGAAGGGUGCGAGCGUUAUUCGGAAUAACUGGGCGUAAAGCGCGUGGAGGCGGUUUCUUAAGUCGUUUGUUAAAUUGCCCGGCUUAACCGGGCACUUGCGGAUGAUACUGAGAGGCUAGAGUACAAGAGAGAAGGGUAGAAUUCUCGGAGUAGCGGUAAAAUGCGUAGAUCUCGAGAGGAAUACCGGUUGCGAAGGCGGCCCUUUGGCUUGUUACUGACGCUUGAGCGCGAAAGCGUGGGGAGCAAACAGG
rnacentral:rRNA from 1 species